rnacentral:rRNA from 1 species
CUUGCUUCUCUUGAGAGCGGCGGACGGGUGAGUAAUGCCUAGGAAUCUGCCUGGUAGUGGGGGAUAACGUCCGGAAACGGACGCUAAUACCGCAUACGUCCUACGGGAGAAAGCAGGGGACCUUCGGGCCUUGCGCUAUCAGAUGAGCCUAGGUCGGAUUAGCUAGUUGGUGGGGUAAUGGCUCACCAAGGCGACGAUCCGUAACUGGUCUGAGAGGAUGAUCAGUCACACUGGAACUGAGACACGGUCCAGACUCCUACGGGAGGCAGCAGUGGGGAAUAUUGGACAAUGGGCGAAAGCCUGAUCCAGCCAUGCCGCGUGUGUGAAGAAGGUCUUCGGAUUGUAAAGCACUUUAAGUUGGGAGGAAGGGCAGUAAAUUAAUACUUUGCUGUUUUGACGUUACCGACAGAAUAAGCACCGGCUAACUCUGUGCCAGCAGCCGCGGUAAUACAGAGGGUGCAAGCGUUAAUCGGAAUUACUGGGCGUAAAGCGCGCGUAGGUGGUUCGUUAAGUUGGAUGUGAAAUCCCCGGGCUCAACCUGGGAACUGCAUUCAAAACUGACGAGCUAGAGUAUGGUAGAGGGUGGUGGAAUUUCCUGUGUAGCGGUGAAAUGCGUAGAUAUAGGAAGGAACACCAGUGGCGAAAGCGACCACCUGGACUGAUACUGACACUGAGUGCGAAAGCGUGGGGAGCAAACAGGAUUAGAUACCC